GAGUUUGAUCUUGGCUCAGAUUGAACGCUGGCGGCAUGCCUUACACAUGCAAGUCGAACGGCAGCACGGGAGCUUGCUCCUGGUGGCGAGUGGCGAACGGGUGAGUAAUGCAUCGGAACGUAUCCUGGAGUGGGGGAUAACGUAGCGAAAGUUACGCUAAUACCGCAUAUUCUGUGAGCAGGAAAGCGGGGGACCUUCGGGCCUCGCGCUCUUGGAGCGGCCGAUGUCGGAUUAGCUAGUUGGUGAGGUAAAGGCUCACCAAGGCGACGAUCCGUAGCAGGUCUGAGAGGAUGAUCUGCCACACUGGAACUGAGACACGGUCCAGACUCCUACGGGAGGCAGCAGUGGGGAAUUUUGGACAAUGGGGGCAACCCUGAUCCAGCCAUGCCGCGUGAGUGAAGAAGGCCUCGGUUGUAGGACGUCUUUCGUCGUACGGGAGGGAAAGUUA
rnacentral:rRNA from 1 species